AUACUGUGGCUGCUUCCUGGGCACUGUAAAGAAUCAUCCUCAUCCUCAUUAAAGAAGAGGACACCCCACAACAAGCUCUUGUCCAACAAGUUCCUCAUGAUUGGGGGAAGGGGAGCUCUUCCUCGUUGGAAGGAUGUGUCAAAGGGCAUACAGACGACAUCAGCUGAUGCCUUCGGAUCAUUCGGCGUCCCUAGCCAGGCACUGUGCAAAGCACUUGACGUGGAUUUCACUUCACCCCCUAAGGACCGUUUGGGUGUGGAUCCCACCAGGCAAGUACUGAUGCUUCAGGGAAAUGCGCACGCGGGAGGUCAGUCAACUAGCGAACAAACGGUAGGAUCAGGAUUUGAACCCAGACCAUCUGGCUGCAGAGUCCCAUGGCAGUUACCCCACUGUUGCUUGACAAACUACCCUGAAAUUUAGCAGCUGAAAGCAACCCCCAUUUUAUUACAGUCGGAGAUCCAGGCAGGGCUCGCCCGUCGCAGCUCGGCGGGCCUGGGUGUUUCUGCUCCCUGUGGCAUGGGCUAAGGUUGCUUGGUGGCAUUUGCCAGGUGGCUGGGCUUGUUUGGGGUUGGAGGGGAGAGGGGGGUCAGGCCUGACUUCAUUCACUGACUCGGGGCCUUGUCGGGAUGGCUGGGAGGGCGGGUGCAGCUGGGCCUAUUGACGGACGUGCACUUGCUGGUGGCCUCUCCUGGGUGGCGGUCGCUCAGGGCACCCAGACUACUUACACGGAGCUCAGGGCUCCCCAGGGACCCGAGGCAGGAGAAGCUGCCGGGGUCUUAAGGGUUGGAAAGGGGCCACCACUGACAUCCCUCUAUUGACCAAACAGUCGCAGAAUCCACUUGGAAUCAAGGGGAGGGACCCAGACCGUCACGCGUCAACUCUGCUUGGGGCCGUCUCUAGUCUCCACACAUCCAGGGCUUAAUCACUGAGGACACAGGGGGAGCCCGUCUUUGAAUUGCUCGACGGGCUGGCCGGCCGAUUGAUUAAUUAGAUGCACAGCGGGCAAGUGUCCUGUGGUGGACGCCAGGAGAUAGUGGCACAGCGGACAAGGUUUCCACCCUCAGGUACCUACACUCUAGCAAAGGGGGGGGGGGUGAUCGCUGAGUAACACACAGGGAGGGUCGUGGGGCAUCAGGUGCCAGGAGGGACGCAAGCCAGCUGAGGAGCCAGAGGGCUUCCAGGGAGGUGACUGGACAGCUUCUUCGGGCGCGUCUUGCGGAGAAAGUGGCGCUCCACCUCCCAGCUGAGAGAGGAACGGGGGGGCUCAUCCUCUCCAAGGAAGAAGCAGCGAGUCCCCCAACUGCCAAGGGGGGAAGGACUUCACGAGCCUGCAGAACCGAGAAGACACUAACAUGCCAGGAGGGCUGUGCGGUCCGAGCAGACGGCAGCGGGUGGCAGCCAGGUCACCCCGGCCUCCUAG
rnacentral:lncRNA from 12 species